GUGGGGUUGCCCGAGCGGUCCAAGGGCGCGACGCCCAAGGGCACACUGCAAAGUCGUUGUUCGCCGGUUCGAAUCCGGCACCCCACUCCA
rnacentral:tRNA from 1 species